UAGGGAAUCUUCCGCAAUGGACGCAAGUCUGACGGAGCAACGCCGCGUGAGUGAAGAAGGAUUUCGGUUCGUAAAACUCUGUUGUUAGAGAAGAACAGCGCAUAGAGUAACUGUUAUGCGUGUGACGGUAUCUAACCAGAAAGCCACGGCUAACUACGUGCCAGCAGCCGCGGUAAUACGUAGGUGGCAAGCGUUGUCCGGAUUUAUUGGGCGUAAAGCGAGCGCAGGCGGUCAAUUAAGUCUGAUGUGAAAGCCCCCGGCUCAACCGGGGAGGGUCAUUGGAAACUGGUUGACUUGAGUGCAGAAGAGGAGAGUGGAAUUCCAUGUGUAGCGGUGAAAUGCGUAGAUAUAUGGAGGAACACCAGUGGCGAAAGCGGCUCUCUGGUCUGUAACUGACGCUGAGGCUCGAAAGCGUGGGGAGCGAACAGGA
rnacentral:rRNA from 1 species